rnacentral:rRNA from 1 species
UACGUAGGGGGCUAGCGUUGUCCGGAAUCAUUGGGCGUAAAGCGCGCGUAGGCGGCCAGAUAAGUCCGGUGUGAAAGUCACAGGCUCAACCUGUGAAUGCCGCUGGAAACUGUCUGGCUAGAGUCCGGAAGGGGCGAGUGGAAUUCCUGGUGUAGCGGUGAAAUGCGCAGAUAUCAGGAGGAACACCAAUGGCGAAGGCAGCUCGCUGGGACGGUACUGACGCUGAGGAGCGAAAGCGUGGGGAGCGAACAGG